GACGAACGCUGGCGGCGUGCUUAACACAUGCAAGUCGAACGGAAAGGCCCUGCUUUUGUGGGGUGCUCGAGUGGCGAACGGGUGAGUAACACGUGAGUAACCUGCCCUUGACUUUGGGAUAACUUCAGGAAACUGGGGCUAAUACCGGAUAGGAGCUCCUGCUGCAUGGUGGGGGUUGGAAAGUUUCGGCGGUUGGGGAUGGACUCGCGGCUUAUCAGCUUGUUGGUGGGGUAGUGGCUUACCAAGGCUUUGACGGGUAGCCGGCCUGAGAGGGUGACCGGCCAAAUGGGGACGGGGAUACGGCCCAGGCCCCUACGGGGGGAAGCGGGGGGGAAUAUUGCAAAAGGGGGGGAGGCCGGAGGAAGCAACGCCGGGGGGGGGAGGAGGGCCUUGGGGUGGUAAACCGCUUUGGCCUGUAACGAGGGGGGGGGGAGGGAAAGGGGUAAAGAAGAACCGGCUAACUACGU
rnacentral:rRNA from 1 species